CAGCGCGGCUUCCGUGGACCGUUCCCCUCAGUGACGAGAGAACAUGGCGGCCCCCCGUCCGGACAUCUCAGAAGUUCUGUCUGCCCACAGGCAAGUCUUCUUGCAGAUUUGUACACUCGCCAUGUCCUGCAGGACCUGUGGUGGAAAAGUCCAGUACUGGUCAGCCUCUGGGCCUGUGAAGAGAAGAGAGUGGACCUGGGACCAGCUGUCCUGAGCACCUAGACAAAGUAGCAGACAGCAGCAAGAUGGGCUGGAUUGUCGUGUUGAACGUGAACGUCGCGAAGGCAGAGGUGGUCCUGCUUGGGGGCCUGUUUUCCUAUUGUGACCCAAUGGAUGUGGAGGGCCAGCGCAUUACCUCUGGAGUUACUCCAGCAUCUCCGUGGAAACCACAGAACUAAAGACAGCCCAGGACUCCAGGCUUUUCCUUGCUCUGAGCGACGUUCUGCGCUGGUCAACUCGGACCCCUUCCGUGGAGGCUGAUGUGGCUGCGCACCCGCACCUGUGAGGACUUUGUAGGGUGUGAACCUGUGCAGGCCAGAGGGUGCCUGUUCCCUGGCAGUGCCAGAAAGGUCUCUACUCUUUCCUUUUCUGUAUAAAUGACUUUUUUCUGUGUGGUGAUUCAUUUAGCAACAUUCAGGUGAAGACAUUUGCUAAUUUGAAAGGGGAGGAGACAAGUGUUCACCAGAAAUGUGCGCUAUUGUAGGAUCUUCUCAAAGAGACUUCUAACAUUUAGUCUCACUAUAUCACUCUGGUUCCUCUACUUUUUUAGUGGUACAAGUUUCAGUCAGAAGCUGGCAUCACAGAACCUGAAGUUCACCCACCCAUGUUUGAAUUCCAUGUUUCUUUUUUGAUUAGAAACUGGAGUGUCUAGCUUUUUCCCAGCAUAUUGAGAUUCAUACAUUUUUGGUUUAUCUGUAUAAAGGGUAAAAUUACAUUAAACCCUUGGAAGAUGGGGGUCAUUGUAAAUUUCUCCUUCCAUGAAAAAGUGAAACCUAUAACAUUUAGGAAAAGCUUUCUCCUAACCUAUGUUCCUUGACCAAGAGACAUGAUAGUGAGCGAGCCUGGCUCAUUUACUUGUCCAAACAGUUGUGAAACUUACCGAUAACUGUGGCGCCUCCUCCCCUUUCCACACACACUUGUGAGGGCUGUCCAUCGCAAUCUAUCUGAGUCUCUUCAUUGGAGGGGCCUGUGGGUAAUUCCCCAGUGACAUGUUUAAUGGGUAAUUCUGCCGAGUAUUGGCAUUUUAGGAAGCAGUCCCUAGGCAGAGCAUUCCAAAAGGAGGUUUUUCUUUUCUUUUUUUAAGUUUAUUUAUUUAUUUUAUUGGCUGUGUUGGGUCUUUUUUGCUGUGUGCGGGCUUUUAGUUGCGGUGAAUGGGGGCUACUCUUCGUUGUGGUGCACAGGCUCCUCAUCGCCGAGGCUUCUCAUUGCAGAGCAUGGGCUCUAGGUGCAUGGGCUUCAGUAGUUGCAGCACAUGGGCUCAAUAGUUGUGGCUCUUGGGCUCUAAAGUGCAGGCUCAGUAGUUGUGGUGCACGGGCUUAGUUGCUCCACGGCAUGUGGGAUCUUCCUGGAGCAGGGAUCGAAGGUGUUGUUCCCUGCACUGGCAGGCGGAUUCUCAACCACUGUGCCACCUGGGAAGCCCCAAAAGGAGGUUUUUCUAAUUGGUGGCAGCCUCAAGAUUUUGGACUCUUGAGCAGUGAGAAGGGGACACUACUCAGUAUGUGAGAUGGGACCUGGCUCUCUGUGCUUCCCCAGGUGUGCAUUCCUAGGCCUGCCUUGUCACUUAGCCUCCUGAGGCAUGUAUCUGAUGCAUGUGUUCUCUCUGAUGGGAAUGGUAAUGUGCUGUAAGUUCUUGGUAUGACGUUUUCCGUAUCGACCUCGUGUUUGCCCCUUGUGUACGUGGGUGACAGGAAGAGAAUGGAUCAUAUUGAGCACUCUAGGGCAAGGCCUUUGAAGCAGAGUGUCUUCCUUUUUAUCCUGGUUCCCUGUAAUAUGCAGGCGGUGGUCUCACGGGGCAGCAGCAGUCAUUUGAGAGGCAUGUUAGCCUCCUGGAAAUGUUGAUGGUGGUGGGGGCCAUGAUGGUGGUUGAGGUAGUGGUGAUGCUAAGAAGAAAAUAGCCACAGCUACCACGGAUCCAAAACUGAAUGGAACCAAGAACUGUCCUCCGUUCUUUUCACUGGUGUAUUACCGCAUGGUCUCAAACCGUGUGAUUUGAGUACAACAUAUAAUGUAAAUAGAUAACUCUCUGUUUGGCAGAGGACCUUCAUGAUGUACAGAAUGGCUCAUUACCUUGCUAUGGUAACAGAGGCGAGUCAAACUGUAUAGGGGGCAUUAGAGCUGGCUUAGCUGGCCCCAUAUCUUGUGAUGUUCAUCACUAAGCUGCAAGAAGCGUUCUUAAGUAACAUUUUCUUGCUUGAGAAAUCAGUGGUUUUCCACCCCUCCAUCUCCGUUGCAUUUCUAGUCCAUAUGGUUACCCAGAAGACGCACAGUGUGCCUUUGCAUUAGUAGAAAUAAGUGGUAAUGAAAAUGGUCUCCCAAUGUGGGAGAACACAUAUUGAAUGCAACGGAUUUCCUGGCUGACUGGCCAGCCAGUUUGAUUGUCUGUUCUUUUGGAGAGAGACUUGCAGAGGUUACAGGGUCAGGUGAGGGGAGGAGCUCUUCUGAUCAGGAAAGAUGGAAUGGCAUAUAGGAUAUGGUCCCUCCUUCAGAGGCCUGCCGUCUGCAGGUAGGGAGAGGACAGGGAAGAGCAGCACAGGAUGUAGCUGCUCAUAGAGAUGGAGGACAAGGGACUGCAGUGUGAACGGUAUGAGAAGCUUCGCGUUUUCAAGGAAGUGUUUCCUUCCCUUCUGCAUUCCUGGUGCUGCUUGGGCUCUGCCUAGCAUGGGCACCGAAGAUAGUAAACCUCGUUGUGUGUGACACAAGAAUGAAUUGUCUUUUGGCCCAGAUGAGGCUUUUUUGAUGGGGUUGUUCCCUAGUUUCCAGCAUUCAUGAGAACGUUCCACUUCACUUUAGGGAAGUGCUUGUAUUCCUGCUUCAUUCUGUGAGCUGCCUUAGCCUGUGAAAAGUGGCUCUGGAAAGGUGCCCUUUCCCCCUCCUCUGCUGUGGCCAGAACAGUAAUUUGAGGGAGUCUCCCGGGAGGCACCUGCUGAUGGUGAAUACUUCUGGUGAAUAAUCACACUACUUGAGUUUGCCACUCUGCUUUUCCUGCUGAGAGUGAGCUGUGUUCCACAGAGAGGCUAGUGAAAGUCAGCUUCUGUUGCUGGUAGGUGUUUCUGAUGUCCCAGCCAGACUCUUCUUCCUUCCACACUCCCCCGGCUCAGAUGCCUCGCCAACUCCUAAAGAAAGUGCGUACUGGCAAUGGCGGCAUCCGGGGCGUGGGAAAUGUUGGGUCCUGGGUGGAUGUUGGCUGUGGCCUAUUGUCAGGUUUCUGUGCCCCUCUGCAGAGCAAGGGCGUGUUGGGAACCCUGGCGAAUCCUGACUGUCUGUGAGGGAACGUGGUUGGGUUUUAUGCCAGCCUGGCCACAUUGACUUCCAGCAAACUUCUUCUGAGCACACUCUGCACGAUGCUUGGAAGAAAGAGGUCACGUGGGUCCUGUCAAUGAUCCCUAUGUGAAGCCGGGGCUGUUUGGAUCCUCCGGGGCAGGUGCACAUGAGCUUGGAUAUCCAGGAACCUGCCAGGUCAGGUGUCCAGGCUGGAGGAUGAAGCCCUCCUCUUCCCCUUGGUGAAGAGGGCCUACAGCCCCAGGCGGUAGCUGUCCCUUCCCCUGUGAAUCUGCUGGAAAGCGUUGCUGCUUGGUGGUCUGGCCUCUCACCAUUUUUGUCUUCCUCUAUUGGGAGGCGGGUGACAUUGCCUCAAGGGCACCUUGUCUCCAAGCCCUUUCAAGGAAGAGGGUGUUUUCCACACGGCAGUGUGUGGGGGGGAUUAUGCAUCGUGUGUGGUGAUGGCCUACUGGAGGGGGAGAGGAUGGGGGUUGAGUUUGGGGAGCAAGGGGGUGCUGUGGUUUCCCCAUUUCAGGCUUUUCUUUCUCUUCAGUAGCGAAAUCUCGUCCCAGCGGGGAUACGAGGAGGCUCUGAGAGUAUAAGGAAACAUUGAGUGGGGAGGACCAGGGGCUUUGGUGUGAGAAUUGUGGUGGACGUGGUGGGUUCAGGGGAUGGCUCCCGUCCCCUUGCCCCAUUCCCUCACACUACCUUAGGGUGGCCAUGGCUGUGUCAUAGGAGAUAGCAAAGCACAGGAUGCAUGUGAAGUGAGCAAUGUCUCACCUUGUGAAGCUGCGACCUUAAAAUUGGGAGCAGGUCCUCAGAUUUCAUUUUCCAGUGUACUGUGGGCCUCUCUGCCCGGAGAAAGUAUUGGUGUCUCUGCCGAUUCCUGUGCACUGCAGGUGCUUAUGUUGAUGUUUUUUUCCCCCGAGGUGUCUUCCUCUUUCCUGUAGUGUUGUGGGCUCUUGGGCACUGCUUAUGGGGUUCAUUUUAUGAUCUAGCAGAGUAUAGCUGAGUUUCUGUUCUCUGCUACCUAAAUUGUUCCCUCUUUAACUAGUUCUCACCCAUGACAAGGAUAUUUGCUGCCAGGUCCUUGAGGGAACAUUCCUGGGUUUUCACAUUGGCAAGAGGCAUUUUUAGUUACUAAAAAAGAUGCUCCUCUUUCCUGUAGCUUUAUGGGCUCUUGGGCACUGCUUAUGGAGUUCAUUUCAUGUUCUUCAGGAGGGUCUAGCUGAGUUUCUGGUCUCAGCUGCCUAAGUUGUUCCCUCUUUAGCUAGUUCUCACCCAUGACAAGGAUGAUUGCUGCCAAGUCCUUGAAGGAACAUUCCUGGGUUUUCACAUUGACAAGAGGCUUACUGAGCUUUUAAAAAGAUUUGCAUACAUUGCAAAGAGGCAGAGAAAGAACUGACACAUUUUCCAGAGUAAAUCCUCUAAGAAAAGGGAGGGAUGGAAGCCUGCUGUCUGUUUUGAACAGCGACAAUUAAAGCAUUCUCUUUUUUUUAAGAUGCUUUUUAUGGGGAGCAUUUUUAAAGUUCUUAUUGAAUUUGCAAUCAUGUUGCUUCUGUUUAAGUUUUGGUUUUUUGGCCAGGAAGCAUGUGGGAUCUUCGCUCCCCAACCAGGGAUGGGACACGUGCCUUCUUCAUUGGAAGACAACGUCUUAACCCCUGGAUCGCCAGGGAAGUCCCAAAUCUUCGUUUCUGAGUUGUCGUACUUUGUAUUUGUCCUCCAAAUGCUACAUGAGAUACCAGGUCCCCCCAGGUGUCUGCCCCCCACAAAUGGUGGUUCCUGAGUCCUGGCCAAAGGCAGGCCUGUGCAGGGAACUUCCUUAAGUGGAACUUGUGCCAAUGGUACCUCAAGGAAAAGGAAUAAGUAGGGGUCAUUGUUCACCCUUCGUCUUCCAUAUGCUUUUACCAAUACCUGUACUCUUAUGGCAAGUUCUCUGUGGUCAAUUGGAGUAAGCAAUGCAACCUCAGGCCUUGUGUACAUAUGAUUUCAUUUGCUAACGUCUUGGCAAGUGGAGAUGUACUGUACUCUCAUGUCUUCCCUUUCCUGAGUGUCUUGGAGGAACAAACCCAGUUGGCAAAGGAAUCUGCAAAAUACUUGUGUCUUUCAAUAAAAUGUGUAUGUUGGAAAAGCUCC